rnacentral:rRNA from 1 species
UACGUAGGGUGCAAGCGUUAAUCGGAAUUACUGGGCGUAAAGCGCGCGCAGGCGGCUAUCCAAGUCAGUGGUGAAAGCCCGGAGCUCAACUCCGGAACUGCCAUUGAAACUGUUUAGCUUGAGGACGAGAGAGGUGAGUGGAAUUCCCAGUGUAGAGGUGAAAUUCGUAGAUAUUGGGAAGAACACCGGUGGCGAAGGCGGCUCACUGGCUCGUAUCUGACGCUCAGGCGCGAUAGCGUGGGGAUCAAACAGG